UAACAAGUUGCAUGCUUCAAACAAACAAUUAAUAAAAAGUUUUUUUUAUAAAUGUUUUAAUUAAGAGGCGUAAAGUUUAGAUUAGACCUCUUAAUCAGCAUAAUAAAUACAAUAUUGGUAGAUGCAACUCUUCAUACAAGUACACUCCCUCUGGAGUGGGACCCACUUCAAAAAUGUAAGAAUACUUUUUAUUAUCUUCAGGUUUUUUUGUAUAAAGUUGCGUUUGAAAAGUGCGAAGAUUCAUAUAACAUUUACUUCGUCACAUACCCAAACAGCAAAACAAAAACAGCAACCAUUUUGCCUUUUACUUCGUGUUUUCCCACAUCUGUGACCAUUUCUGGCGCCACCCACACGAUUUCGGUUUCAAUUUCGGCAAGUAUAGCGACGUUUUACUCCCUUUCCCCACAUGGUUUCACACUUUCCCACACCCAACCGACUUUAGUUUUGGGUUUCCCGCUCCCUAACAAAUUCAAAUAUGGGAUUAAGCUUAUUUGAUCAACCAGUAAGCAUUUGAUGCUGCUGCUGCUGUUUGGCAGUUUUCAAAAGAUAAUAGGAGUAGUUCGAACCGAUUCAAACGCGCUUUCCAGCGAAGUUUUGAACCCGUAUGGUAAGUUUCAGUAGGUGACAACACACUUUGGCCCUUUUCGAACUUGUUUUUUGGCCCUUUUCGAACUUGUUUUUAGUGCUGUCAAUUAGUUUAUAAUAGUUAUUGGUCUCUGUUUGUUGUUCCGGACUGAUUCCAAGUGUUCGAUUUGUGGUUUAAUGUUUUGGGUAAGAAUAUUAAUUCUCCACCCAACACUCUCUGGAAGAACUCUGAAUAAGGUUCCGAACUGAGUUCUACCCUUGGAACCUUGUUUAUAUUGCUUUAGAAUGUUAGGUUUCUGAAUAUUCGAAUAUGUUGUACUCUUGUGUUGAUAUGGUAAUGACUGGCAUGUUGGAAGUGUUAUUAUGUGUUCUUGUGAUUUAUGAGGAUGAUGGUUUUGUUGCGAAUAUCUUGAUAUAUGUUGAGAGAGUGUUGUUGUUAUAUGACUCAUGCAUUUUGGUGAGAUUGUAUGAGAAACUGGUCUAAGGACUGUUUACAUAAAGGAAAGUUGGGUGUGAAUAUCAGCUUCCCAUUUAUAAGGCUUUGUUUGUCAAGGUUUAACAACUUAAUACAUUGGUCCUACAAGUCCUCUGGACUUCAUCGCAUAAGAUGGGGUCGGCUUCGAAAAAGGGGGGAGAAACUCACAAGCAGCUGAUAGUGGGUCUGACCAUUUUGGAGACAUGGAUGAUUUGGAACUUUCUGUAUGUUAGUAUGUUUUUUGGUAUAGAGUAAUUUAUUUCCUUGAACUUCAUAGCUUGUUUCAUUGAGCAUUAUAGAUAGGCUGGGGAAGAGGAGUACUUGAGCGCCGAACACAACAAAUCUGAGAAUGAAGAAGUGGAAGAGGAUGUGAUGAAGAUCUUCUUAAAGGUCAAGCAGUGAAGAAUCAAAGGAAAUGAAGAAACGCGACUGGUAAAUGCAGUGUGAAAGAAGUGAAGUGAAGUGAAGUGAAGUGAAGUGAACCUUGUGGAUGCCAGAGGCCUUGAGGGAAGCGAUGGCACACGAGGCGCCGCCGCCGACGAAAAGCGAAGCAACGGCGAAGGCCUUUAAGGGCAUGAGGCUGGAAUUGCC